UACGUAGGGGCCUAGCGUUGUCCGGAUUUAUUGGGCGUAAAGAGCUCGUAGGCGGUUCGGCAAGUCGGAUGUGAAAUCUCCACGCUCAACGUGGAGGGGCCAUUCGAAACUGCCGUGACUCGAGUCCGGUAGGGGAGUGUGGAAUUCCCGGUGUAGCGGUGAAAUGCGCAGAUAUCAGGAGGAACACCAAUAGCGAAGGCAGCUCGCUGGGACGUUACUGACACUGAGGCGCGAAAGCGUGGGGAGCGAACAGG
rnacentral:rRNA from 1 species